rnacentral:rRNA from 1 species
UACGUAGGGGGCAAGCGUUGUCCGGAAUCAUUGGGCGUAAAGAGCGUGUAGGCGGCCCGGUAAGUCCGCUGUGAAAGUCCAGGGCUCAACCCUGGGAUGCCGGUGGAUACUGUCGGGCUCGAGUCCGGAAGAGGAGUGUGGAAUUCCUGGUGUAGCGGUGAAAUGCGCAGAUAUCAGGAGGAACACCAAUGGCGAAGGCAGCACUCUGGGACGUGACUGACGCUGAGACGCGAAAGCGUGGGGAGCAAAUAGG